CAAUGGGCGAAGCCUGAUGCAGCGACGCCGCGUGAGCGAAGAAGUAUUUCGUUCANNNAAAGCUCUANNANCAGGGAAGAUAAUGACGGUACCUGACUUCCAAGCACCGGCUAAAUACGUGCCAGCAGCCGCGGUAAUACGUAUGGUGCAAGCGUUAUCCGGAUUUACUGGGUGUAAAGGGAGCGCAGGCGGUGCGGCAAGUCUGAUGUGAAAGCCCGGGGCUCAACCCCGGUACUGCAUUGGAAACUGUCGUACUAGAGUGUCGGAGGGGUAAGCGGAAUUCCUAGUGUAGCGGUGAAAUGCGUAGAUAUUAGGAGGAACACCAGUGGCGAAGGCGGCUUGCUGGACUGUAACUGACACUGAGGCUCGAAAGCGUGGGGAGCAAACAGGAUUAGAUACCCUGGUAGUCCAAGGGCGAAUUC
rnacentral:rRNA from 1 species